rnacentral:lncRNA from 1 species
AUGUUGUCUAACAAGUUCCAACAUGAUGGUUUGUUUGAACUGAUUAUGAUUAAUAUAGAAAAUUAUGUUAACAAAAAUGUAAGUAAUAAUAUUACUACAACUGAUUAUAAUCAAAACGGUGGUAUAAACGGUGGUAUAAAUGGUGGUAUAAAUGGUGGCAUAAAUAGUGGCAUAAAUAGUGGCAUAAAUAGUGGCAUAAAUAGUGGCANNNNNNNNNNAAAUAGUGGCAUAAAUAGUGGCAUAAAUAGUGGCAUAAAUAGUGGCAAUAUAAAAAGAGACUUAUACUUUUAUGAUUUUAGUAAUAAUUCAUCUACUGAAACAUAUAAUUAUAACAUAACAAAUUUUUUAUCCAAUAAUAUAUCCAUACAAAAUAAAAAAAAUUAUAAGAACCUAUUUAACGAACCAUUAAUUGAAGAAAGUUCUUAUAAUAGCACAUGUAAUAAUUAUAAUUUAAAUUUUUUACCUUUCCAUAUACUUUUAUUAAUUUUAUUAAAUUAUAAUAAUAGUAACAUGUUAAUUUAUUUAUUAAAUAUUUGUGUAAAUGAAUAUUUAUUUUUAUAUGACACUUCGAAUUUUAUAUAUUUAUUAUAUGCUCAUACCCUUUUACUAGUACAGGAAAAAAAAUUAAAUAAAAAAUUAAUUACAGAAAUCGAAACAAAUAUAAUAAAAUUAUUUUUAUCUCUUCAAAAUAUAUAUAAAAGUACUUCCAUUAAUAAUAAAAAAAUUAUAUAUAAAUGUUUUUUAUAUAAUAAAAAAAUUAUUGAAAAUAAUAAAAGUUUGCAAAAAAUACAUGACGAUUUAUUAUAUACAGAACAAUUCUCAUUAUUACCAGCAUGUUAUUCUAACUUAAAUUUUAGUGACCUAGAAAUAUUGAAAUGUGCGACAUCAUCUUAUUUAAAAAAUAAAAAUGAUAACUUUGUUUUUUGCUAUUUAAAUAAAAACGAUUUUUAUUCAACCAGUCAGUAUAACUAUGACAAUUUAUUAUUAAGUGUUAAAUUUAAAAUUGAGCUUUUAAAAAAAAACUACGACCCAAAUCGUAUCAAGGUAUUAUAUAAAGACGAACUUAUGAAGGUAUAG